rnacentral:lncRNA from 1 species
UUUGGGGCAAGUAAGUGGUCAAGUACUUUAAAAAAAAAAAAAAGUCCCUUUGGGACAUUUUAUCCACUUAGGCUCAUUGGGUGGAUCUUCAGGGAUUGAUUUAAGAAUUGGAAUACUAGAUAAACGUGAGAAUGACUUUUAUGUUUUCUUAGUAUUAGUAAGUGUUAAUCUGUAGAACACAACAAACAACUUUAAUAAAAAUACAGCUUAACAUUUUUUAUUGAUGAUUGUCAGAACCCUUGUAUUGGAGGCUUAGUGUAGAGAUUGCUGGUAGGCUCCUUGUCUAGGGCUAAAAAUAUUCCCUCAGUUAAAGGGGACUUGCCCAAGCACAGGUUAGUGCCUUAUGCUCCAUAACCAAUGCUGUAGUCGACUCUGGGUCAGUGGGGGUUGUGGGCUCAAGAAAGGAGGAGAACUUGCGGAGGUAUAAGAACCUGAAAGUAAAGGGGGAAGGAAGAUGAUGAAGUUCUGAGUCAAUCAAGCAUGUAUACUUGUAUACUUAGGCUUCUCAAAAGAGAGGUCUUUACCUGGCUGUGGUGUUCCUAUAGUUGGUACAUAAACCACAGGAACGGUCUGAAUCUUGUUUAGGAAGGCACUGUAAGCUAGAAAAAGGAAAAGGGAGAUGUCACAAAAAGCUUACUUUUUUAUCAAAAAAUAUUUUCACUGGAAGAAGGCCUUAAAGAGUAAAAGUCCACUCUUACCAUGAGAAUAAGUAUUGAUAUAGAAAGAAAUGCUUAAGUCUGCCCUCUGUCCAUGGAUUCAACCAACUGAGAAUCAGAAAUAAUUUGGAAAAAUGUGUAUACUGAACAUGAAGACUUUUUUCCUUAUUAUAACCUGAAUGGCAUAGUAUAAUAACCAUUUAUAGGAUUUGCAUUGUAUUAGUAUAAGUAACUAGAAAUGACUUAAAAUGUGUAGGAGAGAUGUAUAAAUUAUGUCAUUUGUACAAGCAAGGCACAGGAAUAUCUGGAUUUGGGAUGUUAUUUUUUAUUUUUAGUUAUAGAUGGACACAAUACCUUUACUAUUUGUUUACGUGGUGCCGAGGAUCGAAACCAGUGCCACACACACGCUAGGCAAGUGCUGAACCAGUGAGCUACAACCCUGGUCCUGAAAUUGGGAUGUCUUGGCUUCUGGAAGUAAUAUCCCCCCAAAAUACUUGGACACUGUAACUUAAGUAAUACACUUACUGGAAAUUUUAUUUAUCCCAAUUUAAACCAUCUUAAGGUAUUUUCUUUUAAUUUGUCUAAAAGAUGGGAGAUGUGUGUAGCCAGUGGUGAUGGUAUAUUGAAUCCUCCCUAGCCACUGGUUGGAGUAACAGUAGCAGUUGUCUGAAGGCUAAGCAACAGUGGUAUUUCACUUUAGUUGUUUCCACUUUAGUGAUAUAUCAUAGUUUGCCACAUCCAGUAUACCAUUUUGUAGUAGUAAGCUGAAGAUGGCAUUAAGUGAUUGGGCUAGGGAGGCUAACUCGUGUCAACUACUUGUCACAAAUUAGAUGUGAUAAACAGCUAAUUUUCAUCCUCAUUUAGUUUGUGAAAUAAAAUGAAGGCAGUUUCCAAGUCAAAGUCCACGGUGCUGAAUAUAAGGACUCCUUACCUAGAAAGAUGAAAGCUGUUGAUGCCAACACCGCAAAGAGGGUAAAGAGGAGGAUCUGGUAAGAACCAAUGAACUGCUUGAAGACUCCUGAACCUUCACACUGAUCUGUGCAUUGGCCAUAACAAGAUAAUAGUUAGACACAUCCAGGGCAGAUGCUGCAUUGAAGACAGGGUCUUAAAGAGUAUCCAGCAGAAGCACUCAAAACCCAGCCCUUUUAUGAAACUUGAGGUGUGAACUCAUUCCUUCACCUCUUUUUAGCUUCUCAUAUCUCCAAAUAAUAAAAUCUUCAAAUUUAAAUGUUAGUCUUCUCAGGUUUUAAGGGGUGCUUUAAAUCCCUUUGCCACCUUAAAAUGCCUGUAAAACCCAUUCUGUGUAUUUUAACCCCAGGUGCCAUGUUUUCUUUUACUAAAUUUGUGAUAGUCUCUGCUAACCAAAACAUUUCUUCAGAUCACUAGUUACCUCCUAAAUUCAUUGGUCCCUUGUCUUCAGGGUGUCAUUUCUAGGGAAUUCUUCAGACAUGUUUUUGAAGCCAAUUUGGCAUCUGUUUGGUUUUUUCGAAUUCUUCAUUACUUAUAAAUGAACUCCACUCUUGGCCAAACUGCCUGAAUUCCAGGACUUAUGGAUUACUAGGUUUUCAUACCUGGUUGCUAUUCUGCACUCCUAGUAGAGCUCUGCUUCUGAACUCACAAAACAUAACCCAAAACUGUCCUUAACUUCUUAUAAUCUCAUGAACCCAAAGGAGCCACAUCCCAGGCCUUGUAAUUUUUUCAAACAGCUGCUUAAGGCCUCACUUAGUUGCUGAAGCUGACUUUGAAUUUGGGAUCCUCCUGCCUUAGCCUCUUGAAGUGCUGGGAUUACAGGCAUGUGCCACCACACCCAGCUCAUUCACACUAUUUGCAAACUGCUUCCCUCUGAAGAAUUUGAGAUUUAAGGUGUGCAUAGGGAUUGUACACUAAUCUCUGAUCAGAUCCCACUGUUCAAACCUGGCUUUCCGGAGUCCAUAGGAUCAGAAUCCAAAUAAAAUGUGGACAGCAUCAUAUGUACCUGUCCAUUUCUGAUUAUAAUGAUCUAAUGUCUGUCUCCCCAAACCUGGCCCUUUUCUCCACCCAACCCCACUACCAUGGAUUGAACCCAAGAGUCAUGUAAUAGGCAAGUGUUCUACCACCAUCCCUAGUCCCUCCUCCCCUUUUAAAUUUUCAACAAAUAAACAUUUUCAAUAAAUUGCCAAAGCUGGCCUUGAAUUUGGCAAUCCUGCCUCAGCUCUGGAGUUGCUGGGAUUAUAGGAGUGCACCAUCAUACCCUGCUUCUAUCACUAAGCAAUAUUCCCAGCCUUAUUUUUAUUUUUUAUUUUUUUUAAAGAGGGGGGGGAGAGAUAAUUUUUUUUUAAUAUUUAUUUUUCAGUUCUCGGCAAACAACAUCUUUGUAUGUGGUGCUGAGGAUCAAACCCGGGCCGCACGCAUGCCAGGCAAGUGCGCCGCUACCACUUGAGCCACAUCCCCAGCCCCUUAUUUUUUGUUUUGAAAUGGGAUCUCACUAAAUUGCUGAGGCUACACUCAACUGUCAUCCAGGCUGAGCCUCCCAAAUUGCUGGGAUAACAGGUAUGAGCCUCCAUGCCCAACACCCCUUGCUUUUUUUUUUUUUUUUUUUAAUACCAGGGAUUGAACCCAGAGGUGCUGAACUACUGAGCCACAAUCUCAUCCUUUGUUGAGACAGGGCUUUGCUAAAUUGCUUUUGAACUUGGGAUCCUUCUGUCAGCCUCCCAAGUCACUGGAAUUACAGGUGUACACCACCACACCCAGCUCCUUUGCAGUUCUUAUGCAAUUUUUUAUACUUGGGCAGUUUUGGCAGUCUGGCGAAGCCUAUGAAUACCAUCUGAGAGUCCAUAAAAUAAAUAGGAAGGAUACUUAUCAAAGUAAAGUCAGUUAAAGUAGAAAAAAAAAAUUGGUGAUAUGGUUACGUUGUACAAUUGUCAAAAUGUUAAAAAGCCUAGUUGUGCUACAGUAGUGUUAUUAACAGCAGCAACAAAAAUGUAGGUAUAGAUAUGAUUGUAAUGUAAUUUGGAGGUUAAGAAAUGUGAGAUCUGAAAAUAAAUACAUCUCUGGAUGAUA